AAUCCUUUUGAUCUUUUUUUCUUGAUUCUUGAAGAAUCCAAGAAUCUUUCUUGAUCCCUUAACUAAUCAAGAAGAACAACAACCAAAAAGUGAUUGUAACUAACUCUCAAUAAACUUGAGAGAAAAGGGAAGAAACCAUGAACAACUUAUGGUGCCAACCCUUGACACCAACAAAAGGAUUGUCGUCCACCUCUCUUCUAGAUCCAAUAAGGGACACCUAGAGAGAAAGGGCAUGGGCU
rnacentral:lncRNA from 1 species